GUUUCAGAGAGCAAUAUCGACGGCAUAGAGAUAUCUGUCAGUAAUGACGAGAGGAGGGACAGAGCCGAUGCCGAGAACUCAGAGGACGAGCCAAAGCACAGGAGGAUGCGGUCGCUGAGGAAGAAGGCGCUGCACGCUUCAACCAAGCUGACACAUUCGCUGAAGAAGAGGGGGAAGAGGAAAGUCGACUGCAGAGUGCCGAGAAUACCGAUAGAGGAUGUCAGGGAUGCGGGUGAAGAGCAGGCGGUCAGUUCGUUCCGUGAGGUUUUGUUUGCCAGGAACCUUUUGCCUGAAAGGCAUGAUGAUUACCAUAUGAUGCUUAGAUUUUUGAAAGCUAGAAAGUUUGAUGUCGAAAAGGCAGCACAAAUGUGGGAUGAGAUGCUCCAGUGGAGGAAUGAAUUUGGGACAGACACAAUUUUGGAAGAUUUUGAAUUUCAUGAGCUAGAGGAGGUACUGCAAUAUUAUCCCCAGGGUUAUCAUGGGGUUGACAAGGAUGGAAGGCCUGUCUAUAUCGAGUUGCUUGGAAAAGUUGAACCCAAUAAACUUGUGCAAACCACAACAGUGGAACGAUAUAUCAAGUACCAUGUGCAAGAGUUUGAGAGAGCAUUCCGUGAGAAGUUUCCUGCCUGCUCAAUUUCUGCUCAAAAGCAUAUAGAUACAACAACCACAAUAUUGGAUGUCCAUGGCGUGGGCUGGAAGAACUUUGGUAAGAUUGCAAGGGAUUUAGUGCGCUGUAUGCAGAAAAUAGAUGGUGACUAUUAUCCCGAGACACUACAUCAAAUGUUCAUUGUAAAUGCUGGAGCUGGUUUCAAACUGAUCUGGAGCACUAUAAAGGGACUUCUUGACCCCAAAACAUCAUCAAAAAUUCAUGUUCUAGGAGCAAAAUACCAGAGCAGGCUUCUUGAAGCUAUUGACGCAAGCCAAUUACCAGAGUUUUUUGGUGGUUUGUGCACAUGCUCUAACCAAGGAGGAUGUCUGAGGUCCAACAAAGGCCCUUGGAGUGACCCUUUAAUUAUGAAGAUCGUACAUAGCAUGGAAUCAUCUGCAUUAAGGGAUAUUGUGCAAGUAUCUGAUAUAGAAGAAACAAUUACAGGCUCUGUAAGAUUGCGUGCGCUCAAGUUACCAGAAAGAAUUAGUGAUACAUCAAAUGCUGAAUCAGGUUCAGAUGUUGAUGAUCUUGGAUCCCCUGUAGCCCCAGAAGAUGUUGAAUAUCAUAGUUUGGCUCCAGUCCGUGAGGAAGCCAGGGAAUCAGGAUCAACGACAUACGGCUGUUCAGACGAUCGACCUCUUUCAGUGGAUAAAGCUGUCGAGUCCAAUAAAAGAUCUAACGUUGCUGGAAAUGUAUUAAGGCAGUACAACACACGGCAAAAUUCAUCGAUGAAUAGAGUUUCGCCUGAGCCAGCAGGUCGCGCCCCAAAUGUCCGUGAAGGCGAUGCAGAUGAUGGGAUUUUGAAAUUAUUUUCAAGAAAAGUUCUUGCUGUAAUUCUCAAAGUACUCUCUCUUUUGCGCUUGUUCACUCGCCAUCAGCGACAGUUGGAAAAUGUUCAUCCACAUACUGCAGCUGUACCCAGUAAUCAACCAAAUCUUCAGAUAGUUAAGGAAGACCGAGUAAAUCCUUGUCUGGAGCGUCUUGAAAGACUUGAAUCGAUGUGUAAUCAACUCAGCAGAAAGCCUCCUGAGAUCCCACAGGAUAAGGAUCGUGCUAUACAGGAUUCUUUUGAUAGGAUAAAAUCCAUUGAAUUUGACCUGGAGAAGACAAAGAAGGUAUUGCAUGCAACAGUGAUCAAACAAAUGCAGAUGGCUGAAACAUUGGAGUCCGUGACAGAGUCUGGUCAUAGAAGAAGGAAAUUUUGUACGUAA
rnacentral:rRNA from 1 species